GCUGGCAACGCGGUCACCGAAGCAUUACAUUAUUUAUACAUUUUAACAAAGGCGCCAGCAUUCCUUGGUUACAAGUUGCAUAGCUUUUUAAAAAAAUAGUUCUCAAAACCCUAUUUGCUCGUCAUUCCCGUCCUUUCUGAUGGUAAUUUUUCCUGAGGAAUAAUUAUUCCUCAGCAGUUCUGCCCGCCUUACGUUUUGAGUAGGUGGUCAGUGGGUCGGUGGUCGCGAUCUCCCACUGCCGGAAUUGCCUUUCCCCCACGUACUGCUCAGUCCUGACUGCUGCCUUCUAGACAGCCCAUUCAUCCUGGGAUUGUCUUCCCUCUUCCUCGUAACAAAGGAUUAGCCGAGCAUACGAUGUUCACAGUGCAAUUGCUUAAUCGUAACUGUGCAGCUAUCGCUGCUGAUAACAACAAAAAAAAGCUGCGAAGUUUGGUUCAAAUCUUCUGGGGCUAGAUACCAGCAGCGCCUGGCCUGUAUUGCUUUUACUGGAUGUCUUUACUGCCCUGCCAGCCCUGGUUAGUCUGGCAGCAAAGCACAACACAGCUCCCACCACAACAGCCUUUCCAUCUAUGCCAUUCCUAAAUGAUACUUCCUGUGUAUCCUCCACGUUUUCCUUGCUUCCAGUCCUUAAAAAAAAUUCCUCUUCUCUAAUUUCCUCUUCUGUUAUUUCUGGCUUUUUUUAUCUUCUUGCUCACAGCUUCCCAUCCUUUCCUCUUCUUCAUCUCCCAAGCUGUAGGAAAAACUGCCUGUGCCUGUCCCAGCCACCUCCUUGCCAAGUCUUUAGCUGGUCAGAGGUCAGCUUUGAAGUUCCCAUCUCUAAUCAGUGGAACAACAUGCGCUGAGCCAGCACCAAGAGCCCUUCAGAGAAUCUGCUGAUUGUUCUCCUUGUUGUGGGUACAAACAGACAAAGAAACUCGCCACAGUUUUUAAAGAACCAACUCCUUAAUGAGUUCAUACUAUUAACAGUAAUUGGAGGUUGUAUAAACAGGUCCCCAAAGUCAGCACAGCCCUGAUGCACACAGGAUAUUGAGGCCUCAGAUGUCACAUGUGAAUGUUUCUCUGGGGCAUCUGCUCUCCAAAAUGCCGUGGAAAGCUGAAGAGCUUUCACAUGAGCUGCAGAGACCCCAGCAUGUCACAGAGUUUUACUGACUGGUGUGCCAUAAUAGGAAUGGAAGAGGACCCACAAGAUCUCAUGGGAGCCAGACUCAGGUAGGAAGCACAGGAAGCACAAGUAGCAGGAAGCACACUGCGCAACCUGAUAUUCCGAAAAAUUACCACAAGAUGGGAAGAACUCGUAUACAAGGAAAAGGUCUCUCAUUUGGGUCCUGUUUUCUACAGUGAAUAUCUUUGAAGACACAGUAUAGCAGUCUGGAUUCAAUUCUGACUCUUUGGUUUCAUGGGAUUCAGGAAGCAGUCAAGGCUUUCUGGGCACUGUCUGUAUCAGCGCAGAAUGGGAUGCAUCUCUGGAGAGGUCUUCAGCCGAUGGAUCACCGUUGUCUGUCUGAGGACAGAGUGGAUCACCUCUCUCCACUGGGUCUUUUUUAAGUGGGAGCCCAAUGCAAGCUUUGAAAAACUAACACAGACACCUAAUGUAGGAACUAUCAAACCCUGCCCCAGGGGGUUUGAUUUCCUCUUCCUUUCUCCAGGCAUUGCUUGUGCUGAUGGAGAAAGCCCAGUAAUGGGGCACCAGACUGGUGGGGAAAACCCAUGGAAUUCCCUGACCCUGUGCCCUUUGUCUGUCCUCUGCCUUUCUGCCUCCCCAGUGGACCAUUGCUGCCGGCAUGCUCUCAGCAUCUUCUGCUUGCACCUGGUUUUGGAAGCAACCGGGAAGAGUAAUCAUUCAGCUGAUGUUACAUCACCAUUUUGCAGCUUUUAGGCUUGCUACUGGCAGUUCAUCAUUCCAUUGGAAUUAAAAUGGACAACUUUUUGUUCAGGUUUGGUGAGUAAAGCCAAACUUGAACAUGCUUAUCUUCCUCUCUUAUCUGUUGCAUUGCAUGAUACAUGCAGCCUGCAGUGGCAUCCUUGCCUGUGAAAACUGUUUUCAUUAAACAACCUAAACAGACUGAAACUCUUGGAAUAUGUUUGCUUUUGUUCCGUGCACAGAUGUGGUUAGAGGGAAACCUAUUGGAACACAUGCUGGCAGUGCUAAGCUGUGCUCAGCGGAGAGAGCUCUCUGACCAGGAAAAGAGUUUUCUGGUCACAAGUUUCUGUGCUUUUCAGCCUCAGUGUUGUUAAAAUAAGU